rnacentral:rRNA from 1 species
GUGUCAGCAGCCGCGGUAAUACGAAGGGGGCUAGCGUUGCUCGGAAUUACUGGGCGUAAAGGGCGCGUAGGCGGAUAUUUAAGUCGGGGGUGGAAGCCCGGGGCUCAACCUCGGAAUUGCCUUCGAUACUGGAUAUCUUGAGUUCGGGAGAGGUGAGUGGAAUGCCGAGUGUAGAGGUGAAAUUCGUAGAUAUUCGGCGGAACACCAGUGGCGAAGGCGGCUCACUGGCCCGAUACUGACGCUGAGGCACGAAAGCGUGGGGAGCAAACAGGAUUAGAAACCCCCGUAGUCC